rnacentral:lncRNA from 1 species
CAGGGAUUCAGCCAGCUGAAACAAGGAUGCCCUCAAGCUGGAGAGUCUGAUGAGGACCUGACAUCCCAUCACUUGUCAUCCUUUCCUGAUCCUCUGCGUGAUCCUCACUGCUCUCAAACUCUACCGCCUCGUCUGGACCCUGGUGAGAGCCGCAACUUCUCCCUAUGACCCUCUCCUCAACCAGUCGUCCACUCCACACCAGAAAAAGCCUGCCUUGGUUCCGGACCUGGUCACUGCGGUCUGAGUGAGUGUGCAUCUGCUGGACUCAAAGCCUAAGGCUUAAGACUUUUGAACUUAGCAUGCAGAGGAAAUGUCUGUCAUUAGCCUGUCAUGAUUAAGUGUGUUUAUAGUGCUUAGAAUUAAUCUAGAAUUGUUUGCUAUGAAUUGAUUAUGUCUAUUGCAGUGCCUAGCAUUAAGAAUUGUUGUUUUCUUGAUUAAGAACCUAUAGAGUGAAACUGUAUUGAGUAAUUUGAGUGAAUAAAGCAUUGAAAGGGGC